rnacentral:rRNA from 1 species
GACGAACCGUGCGAACGUUAUUCGGAAUCACUGGGCUUAAAGCGCGUGUAGGCGGAUUGGAACGUCGGCGCCUGAAAUCCCCCGGCUCAACCGGGGAACGUGGCCCGAAACGACCAGUCUGGAGGGACGUAGGGGGGACUGGAACUUCCGGUGGAGCGGUGAAAUGCGUUGAGAUCGGAAGGAACGCCCGUGGCGAAAGCGAGUCCCUGGACGUCUACUGACGCUGAGACGCGAAAGCUAGGGGAGCGAACGGGAUUAGAUACCCCGGUAGUCCUAGCCGUAAACGAUGAGCACUGGGUAGGGGGUCCGCCCAUGGACUCCCUGCCGCAGGGAAACCGUGAAGUGCUCCGCCUGGGGAGUAUGGUCGCAAGGCUGAA